rnacentral:rRNA from 1 species
GUGCCAGCAGCCGCGGUAAUACGGAGGGGGCUAGCGUUGUUCGGAAUUACUGGGCGUAAAGCGCACGUAGGCGGAUCGGAAAGUUGGGGGUGAAAUCCCGGGGCUCAACCUCGGAACUGCCUCCAAAACUAUCGGUCUUGAGUUCGAGAGAGGUGAGUGGAAUUCCGAGUGUAGAGGUGAAAUUCGUAGAUAUUCGGAGGAACACCAGUGGCGAAGGCGGCUCACUGGCUCGAUACUGACGCUGAGGUGCGAAAGCGUGGGGAGCAAACA